rnacentral:rRNA from 1 species
UACGUAGGGUGCAAGCGUUAAUCGGAAUUACUGGGCGUAAAGCGUGCGCAGGCGGUUUUGUAAGUCUGUUGUGAAAUCCCCGGGCUUAACCUGGGAAUGGCAUUUGGGACUGCAAGGCUGGAGUGCGGCAGAGGAGACUGGAAUUCCUGGUGUAGCAGUGAAAUGCGUAGAUAUCAGGAGGAACACCAGUGGCGAAAGCGGCUUCCUGGUCCAGCACCGACGUUCAGGCACGAAAGCGUGGGGAGCAAACAGG